GCCUACGGCCAUACCACCCUGAGAACGCCCGAUCUCGUCUGAUCUCGGAAGCUAAGCAGGGUCGGGCCUGGUUAGUACUUGGAUUGGAGACCGCCUGGGAAUACCAGGUGCUGUAAGCU
ensembl:rRNA 5S_rRNA 5S ribosomal RNA